UACAAGCCACACAUUCACAGAUGGAGAUUGACAGGGAGACUGACCAAUCGCAUCACUGAAUGCUCCGUCGCCAUGUCUAUUUAUUGUCAUCUUGAACCCAUCACCUUUCAUUGUCUUACCGCUCAACGUUCCGGACGAUCUCUCGGACAGGACUAACGCCAUGAGGGGAAAAAUGCUGUUUAUCGGUCUGUUGGUUCUGACGUCAUCAUGUCACGCUUGGUGGAACAAUCAUCAUAGUCAGCAUCAUCAUCACACCAGUACUAACACGGAGACCGUGUCGACAAACGGUGGAGCCGACAGCGGCAAUAAUGGCGUGCUUCGUUCCAACAAUAACAAUAACUUCAACGGUGGGGGGGCGAUUUCCGUGAACACUGGGACUCAAACCGGGGGUCCAGGAAGAAAGCGCAAUGUGGAAGCAAAACAGGACAAGCUGAUGUAAGAGAACUGUUUGGAUACAGCAGGACCACAAGGAAGUGACGGAGACGAUCUGAUCGUUGGCAAGCAACUAGUGAGGCUCCUGAACACCACUUGGUCUUGAAGCAGGUCACGCAAGGUCGCCUCUACACCCAGACUGUCACGUGACUUGUGUUUGAAUACGAUCCUCGUCUGCUGCUGAAAAUGUCGUCACCAAUAUCAACACCAUCUUCACACUCAGACGUGUUUGCUGCUUUCUACUGUCCUUAACCUGACCUAAGGUCCUCUCCUUGAACUCACAUGAUGACCUUAGCUUCUGGCCUUCAGCAAUAAAAUGUUUCUUGUCUUUAAAA